UGGCUAACUCCUUCACCAUUUCUUUCUUGAGUUCAGCCUGAAAUUGCUAAACAAAAUAUGUUAUUCAUUUCAGCUAUUUUUUUUUAUUGAACAACAUAGCACAACAGAGAGCCAAAAGAACAAACAUUCAAGGUCAAGCGUGAGAAUGAGAGCUACUCAAGGAGUCGCAACACCUUAACAAAUCUUUGCUAUCAGGUUGAGCUGUGAUGGACGAUGAAGUGUUGCUGAGUGGAGCUUUUGUCGAACUAAAAUUAGGCUCAGAAAGGAUAUAUGUCUGCAUACAUGUAUCUCAGUUAUGUCUUCCGCUGCAAACACUGAUUAUGUUUUAGUCAAGUCUAUAACUAUGCCAAUUACUCUUCAAAGAAAUAUCUAAUGCUUACUCGGGUUCAUCGAGUAUCCUUUUUAA